UUAGAGAAGAGCGCACUUCCGGUGCCCUUUCUGCCUGGAGCUCCACGGCCUGAGACCCUCGUGUGUGUGGGGUGUGAUCUCUAAACUGGAGUGGGGUGGAGACGGGCCGGCACCCCAGCUCUGACUUCUGGUGCCGCCGGCCUCGGGACCAGACAUGGCCCAAAACUUGAAGGACUUGGCCGGACGGCUGCCCGCCGGGCCCCGGGGCAUGGGCACCGCGCUGAAGCUGCUGCUGGGGGCCGGCGCGGUGGCCUACGGCGUCCGCGAGUCCGUGUUCACCGUGGAAGGCGGACACAGAGCCAUCUUCUUUAACCGCAUCGGGGGCGUGCAGCAGGACACCAUCCUGGCCGAGGGCCUCCACUUCAGGAUCCCCUGGUUCCAGUACCCUAUAAUCUAUGACAUUCGGGCCAGGCCCCGCAAAAUCUCCUCCCCCACAGGCUCCAAAGACCUGCAGAUGGUGAACAUCUCCUUGCGCGUGCUGUCUCGCCCCAACGCCCAAGAGCUUCCCAGCAUGUACCAGCGCCUCGGGCUGGACUACGAGGAGCGAGUGCUGCCUUCCAUCGUCAACGAGGUGCUCAAGAGUGUGGUGGCCAAGUUCAACGCCUCUCAGCUCAUCACCCAGAGAGCCCAGGUCUCUCUGCUGAUCCGGCGCGAGCUGACGGAACGGGCCAAGGACUUCAGCCUCAUCCUGGACGACGUGGCCAUCACAGAGCUGAGCUUCAGCCGAGAGUACACGGCCGCCGUGGAAGCCAAGCAAGUGGCCCAGCAGGAGGCCCAGCGGGCCCAGUUCUUGGUGGAGAAGGCCAAACAGGAACAGAGACAGAAGAUUGUGCAGGCCGAGGGCGAGGCUGAGGCCGCCAAGAUGAUAUCCUCCCUCCACAUGACCCUACCCACCCCGGCGGGCUGGCUGAUGAGACUAAGGCGAAGGCGAAUCCUGCUCUGCCCUGGGCUGCAUGUGGGGGAGGGGGCGGGGCCACAAAUGGGAUCUGAAAUCUUAGCGGGGGCUCCGAAGGCCCGGCUCCCCACUGUAAGGCCAGAUCCACAGCACCCACUGGCCUCCCCCACUGCCGCUGCUGCUGGCCAGCCUCGGGCAGCAGCCUGUGGGGCAGGCCUACAGACGGAACCUGCGCAGGAGCAGGCUGAGCGCACCCUUGGAUCUGACAGCCCCAGGAGAACCAGGGCGAGGGGGGCCUGAGAGCCAGUCUGCUGUGACCCCUUAACCCUGUCCUGCUCACCUCGGAGAGGCACUGAGCAAGAACCCCGGCUACAUCAAACUACGCAAGAUCCGGGCCGCCCAGAACAUCUCCAAGACGAUCGCCACGUCACAGAACCGAAUAUAUCUCACAGCAGACAACCUGGUGCUGAACCUACAGGAUGAGAGUUUCACGCGGUGAGGGAGGGGUCUGCUCAC